rnacentral:rRNA from 1 species
ACCCCACUGCUAUCGGGAUAGGACUAAGACAUGCUAGUUGAGCGCUUCCAGCCAAUACGGGAGCGCAGCGCACAGCUCAGUAACACGUGGCUAAUCUGCCCUUGGGACCGGAACACCCCCGGGAAACUGGGGCUAAUUCUCGAUAGGUGAAGAACUCUGGAAUGAGUCUUCACCAAAAAGACGUUUACGUUAUGCUCGUAGGCGUCGCCCAAGGAUGAGGCCGCGACCGAUCAGGUUGUUGGUGAGGUAAUGGCUCACCAAGCCUUUUACCGGUGCGGGCCGUGAGAGCGGGAGCCCGGAGAUGGGCACUGAGACAAGGGCCCAGGCCCUACGGGGCGCAGCAGUCGCGAAAACUUUGCAAUACACGAAAGUGUGACAGGGCUAUCCCGAGUGCCAUCCGCUGAGGAAGGCUUUUACCCAGUCUAGAACGCUGGGGGAAUAAGGAGAGGGCAAGUCUGGUGUCAGCCGCCGCGGUAAUACCAGCUCUCCGAGUGGUGUGGAUGUUUAUUGGGCCUAAAGCAUCCGUAGCUGGCUGAGUUAGUCCCUUGUUAAAUCCACCGAAUUAAUCGUUGGAUUGCGGGGGAUACUGCUCGGCUAGGGGACGAGAGAGGCAGACGGUAUUUCUGGGGUAGGGGUGAAAUCCUAUAAUCCCAGGAGGACCACCAGUGGCGAAAGCUGUCUGCUAGAACGCGCCCGACGGUGAGGGAUGAAGCUGGGGGAGCGAACCGGAUUAGAUACCCGGGUAGUCCCAGCUGUAAACGAUGCA